rnacentral:tRNA from 4 species
GCGCUUGUGGCUCAAUUGGAUAGAGCACCUGACUUCGGAUCAGGCGGUUGGGGGUUCGAGUCCCUCCGGGCGCACCA